GCCUUUGUGGGUAGCUCAGCUGGCAGAGCACAAGACCCUUAAUCUCAGCGCCGCAGGUUCGAGCCUCCCUCUGGGCA